rnacentral:tRNA from 1 species
AAUAGAAUGCCUGACCAAAAAGGAUUAUCUUGAUAGGGUGAAUCAUGAAGCCUAGCUUCUUCUAUUA